rnacentral:lncRNA from 1 species
GUCGUUGUUGGGGACUCAUGGUUUAACUUAUCUAGUAUUGUAACUUGAUUAAGUUUUCUUGAUUGUAUAUUUUUUUUUUAUCUUUUUAUUUUUUUUAUCUUUUUAUUUUUUUUAUAAAAUAUAAAAAAGUGCUACUAGGGUUUGUGUUUCUUGUGCAUGUAACAGGAGACGAGAGAUACUAGGAGCAAGAAAAAUACGCAACCUCUUCUUGAAGGCUUAAGCGAAGCAAGAAGGAGAAGGAGAGUCAGACACCCAUCUAGGGAUUUGUUUCCUUCACCUGACAGAUUACUAUCACCUUCACCAGAUAGAA